GGCUACAACUUGAGCCACGUUUUGCGAUAUUUGUUUACUUUUUUUGGAAGAUUGGCACCCUUAAAGUAUGCCGAAUUAGCCAUUAGUAGUUCAUUAUUGCAUGUACCCAUGGAUUUACAGACAAGCAACACUGGGAUACUUUGAAAACUGAAGAAAACUUAAAAACGUGAUGAUUUUAAUGCAAGUUCGAGAGUUUUAAGGAGCGUCUUCUUCCCUGAUAUCUUUGCGGAUUUACGGACGUUUACUUGCGAUGGACAUCGAAGAUAAUGCUAUUUUGAGGAAGAGAGGAAAACAAAAGGCAGGAUGGAGGAGUGGAGGAAUCCUCAGCAGGGAGGUGAUGGAAAAGGCAGGUCACCCUCGCCGGUCGACAGACUGAAAUACCACAGCUUGCCCGGGGCUCGUCACCGUCUCUGAUGCUGCGAGGGACUUUCUGACAAGUCAGGGGUACAAGAUGGAUUGACUGAUGAUGAGUCAGCGGCGUGACUCCGAGCAGAUCACAAGAAGAGCCCAGAGGUGGACGACCAGCUGACCCAGGAGCUGCAGCACAAGGCGAUGAGUGCAGAGUUUCCGGACCACAACGGAGAAGUUCCUUCACUCCAUUCAUGCCUUUUUCAUACCGUACUCACUGUAUACUCAUAGUAUUGUAUGCCAUGAAAAAAAAUAAUAAAAAAGUAAGU